UUGAACGCUGGCGGAAUGCUUUACACAUGCAAGUCGCACGAUGAACCUUAGCUUGCUAAGGGGAUUAGUGGCGAACGGGUGAGUAAUAUAUCGGAACGUGCCUUGUAAUGGGGGAUAACUAGUCGAAAGAUUAGCUAAUACCGCAUACGCCCUGAGGGGGAAAGUAGGGGAUCUUCGGACCUUACGUUAUAAGAGCGGCCGAUAUCUGAUUAGCUAGUUGGUGGGGUAAUGGCCUACCAAGGCGACGAUCAGUAGCUGGUCUGAGAGGACGACCAGCCACACUGGAACUGAGACACGGUCCAGACUCCUACGGGAGGCAGCAGUGGGGAAUUUUGGACAAUGGGCGCAAGCCUGAUCCAGCCAUUCCGCGUGAGUGAAGAAGGCCUUCGGGUUGUAAAGCUCUUUCGCAAGGGAAGAAAACUUACCAUCGAAUAAAUGGUGAGGCUGACGGUACCUUGAUAAGAAGCACCGGCUAACUACGUG
rnacentral:rRNA from 1 species